rnacentral:lncRNA from 1 species
CUUUUUCUUCUUAAAUGGACUAGGUUCAUCAUCAUUAAUUCACUGAGAAUCUUGUUCAAUUCUUUUAGUGUGACCUUGAGGAUAGAGAGGUCCCUCACUCAGUCUACCCCCUCCAGUUAUUAAUCUAACCAUUGUAUGUUGAAAACUAUGUGGACAAUUUCAAAAGUUUAGUUCAUAAUUUCAGUUUUUAGAUUAUGUAGGUUUUGAUAGAUGAGGAUUACAAAUUUG